CCUACGGGUGGCAGCAGUGGGGGAUAUUGCACAAUGGGGGAAACCCUGAUGCAGCGACGCCGCGUGAGUGAAGAAGGAUUUCGGUAUGUAAAGCUCUAUCAGCAGGGAAGAAAAUGACAGUACCUGACCAAGAAGCCCCGGCUAACUACGUGCCAGAAGCCGCGGGAAUACGUAGGGGGCAAGCUUUAUCCGGAUUUACUGGUGGAAAAGGGAGCGUAGACGGUUUGGUAAGUCUGGUGUGAAAGCCCGGGGCCCAACCCGGGGACUGCUUUGGAAACUGUGUAACGGGAGUACAGGAGGGGGGGGCGGAAUUGCGGGUGGAGCGGUGAAAUGCGUAGAGAUGGGGAGG
rnacentral:rRNA from 1 species